UACGUAGGGUGCAAGCGUUAAUCGGAAUUACUGGGCGUAAAGCGUGCGCAGGCGGUUUUGUAAGACAGGUGUGAAAUCCCCGGGCUUAACCUGGGAACUGCGCUUGUAACUGGCAAGCUGGAGUGUGGCAGAGGGGGGUGGAAUUCCUGGUGUAGCGGUGAAAUGCGCAGAUAUCAGGAGGAACACCAAUUGCGAAGGCAGCUCGCUGGGACGUCACUGACGCUGAGACGCGAAAGCGUGGGGAGCAAACAGG
rnacentral:rRNA from 1 species